ensembl:lncRNA LINC02207 long intergenic non-protein coding RNA 2207
AGAGGCCUCUGCUCUGCCAGCCUGGGAGUCAUCUUCACCCUCAGGCUGGUAGACUCCAGUCUCUUAGGUCAGAAUGGGAUUAGAGACCCGUUCCUGAACCAGUCACACACAGCGGGUGAAACUGCUAUGAUUGGUUUAGACUUAGAGACUGGAAUGGAUGCUGAAAACAUCGCCCAUUUCAUCUGUUUCUUCAGUCCCCAGAUAGCAGAUGACUGGUAGGAAGAUGAGGCAAGUUUGCGGUCCAUUGUCAUGGAUAGUGGAGACAACACUGGGCCAGAAGUGGUAAGACCUGAAUCCAAGACUCAGCUCUGCCACUUGCUAAAUGGGACUUUGAAUAAACCAUUUCUCUGCACUUAAGUUCCUUACCAACAAAACGAGGGAAGUGGCCUACAUGCCUAGAUAUCAACAUUUCAUGUCACGUAGAGAUCUAGCAUCACAAGAAUCCAAGUCAUCCUCUGUUGCCUUUAAGAAAUUAGAAUUAAAGGAAUCAGAAUUGAAGUGAAUCUGACUACACUAAGCCUAUCACUUGUGACAGCCAUGGGAAGAUAUCAUUGGUUGCUGAGGAGCAGAAAUAAGCAGAGACCUAUUGUGUUAGGUUAUCAUUCAUUUCAGUUGUUCCCCUUUGGCCUGUGAAGAGUGGAACAGGAGUUACACAAAUAGAGAUGAUUGCCUCUCCAUCCUGACAAAGUAUGAUAAAGACCACCGAAGUGUUGUACGCAAGAAAGCACAGGAUGGCUGGGAUGAGUGAACUAUGUAUCCCAGGUUUUACUUAGGCCUCAGCAUCCAGUGGUAACCCUGUCAAUUCUUUGCUCUCUCUGAUCAUUUGCAAGUAUUGAGAGGAAGACACUAUUUUGGGGUUAAUUAGAAUCAUACAGUAU